rnacentral:lncRNA from 1 species
CCUGCUAGCUGGGUCACCUCUCACGAUGUCCAUGUUGAGGGGCAUACAGGAUGUAGUGAGGUCCUCUAAUCCCCAGCGAUCCCUCACAUUCUUAUCCCAAUGAUCAUAACAUCUACCAUGUCCCCAGGGUCCCCAGAACUCUACAUGUCCUUGAACAUGGCUGAGGUUCACCCCAGGCAUCUGGGUGUUUCCCUAUCAUGUGGCCUGGUGGGAGUUAGUCCAUGGGGUGAGGUGGACCCUUCCAAUGGGACUUGGAAGUUAUAUCUUCACUUGACCUCCAAGAAAAGCUUGUGACACGUGAUGAUGAGUUCUCAGAAGCCCAAACUCCUGUGUUUGGCACGUGGAUGUCCCAUCUCCCCUCUGUCACUGGAGAACAGUGGGACCCUCAUCUCCAACCAGAUCUAAGUACAGCCUGCAGAAGGAGCUCCCAGGUGUGGGGAGGUGUAGUCAGUACCUCUCACUCUCAGACUUCCUCCGGCCUCUGCGGGAAGCCUGGCUGUGCCAACUAGCACGUGUGGCACAGUGGCCUGGGUUGCAAAAUAUAUCCGGCAUGGCAGUUGGUGAAGUUAUGCAAUCACCCCCAACUUACGGAAACCACCUUGUGGUGCUCCUGCGGAGCAGAGGUGGAUGGCCGGGCCACUCGGCUGGCUGCAAGCCUAAAGUGGUAGUCGGCUUCUUAUAGGUCCCAGACCAUCCAUCAGAGCUCACCUUAUGGAUGUGGAACCAACCAUUGACAGGGCUGGAGAGCAUGGUCCGAGGAGCUGUGGUGGCCAGCUGGAGACAGGGUCGUGCCAGGGGUCAGUUGUCCCCGUUCUUGGGUGAGACAACAAGCUUCAGAACGAGGCUCAGGUAGCAAACAGACUUAGGGGAGAGUCCCUCAGAGCCCUGUCCCAGCUCCAUAUCGGACUUUCUCCUAUUCAGAGCUCCCAUAGCAGGAUAAAAUGAAGAUGCGACAAGUUCAUGGUGCGAGAGAGAAGCCUGAUCCAAUCUGCUGACAUCCUGGGAAUCAUCAAGGCAACGUCAGGACGUGUCCUGGACAGCCAUGCCUACCACAGCUAAAUGUUCUCUGAGGUUGAGGCAGAUCAAGGACGUGAGAGGAAAAGCUGACUUUGUUCCAGUCUCACCACCCAGCCACACGUUCCAGCCCCAAGACUGGGAGAAGUGCCCUGGUAGAAAUCCAGCCCUCUUGGUCUCCUCAUCGCGACUGAGGGGUGAUUCUGUGUGAAUUCACACUGGACACUGUAUAAGACAACUGCACCUUGCUCUUCUGCUCUACAGUGUAUCUGAGGCCAACUUGGUAACACACACAGAGCUGCUCUGUCUGCCUCAGCUCCUGGGUUGUUUAGUGAGUGGAUGUGUCAGGGCUUGUUGCACCCCCUCCCCCAGGACUGGACACAAGGUGACUGCCAUCGUCUCAGUCUGACAGACAAUGGAGUCUUCACCACCUUUCAGCACUUACAAAAGUUGCCUUGGAGACCCCCAACUCUGGAGUCCCUCUGUCAAAUAGGAUACGGG